UAAAAACGACUCUCGGCAACGGAUAUCUCGGCUCUCGCAUCGAUGAAGAACGUAGCGAAAUGCGAUACUUGGUGUGAAUUGCAGAAUCCCGUGAACCAUCGAGUCUUUGAACGCAAGUUGCGCCCGAAGCCAUCCGGCCGAGGGCACGUCUGCCUGGGCGUCACACACC
rnacentral:rRNA from 3 species